AUGAUAAGGGGCCGCUAAUAAUAGAAAAUUCAUUUGAAUUUCGAAUUUUUUCGGUUAUAUCUUUUCACCGUGCGAGGGACCGAGCCAGAAAAAGUCAAAUCUGCGAACCUCUAGGAUAACAGAAAGGGCGCCAAACCAAACCCUAGAAAAAAAAAAUUGACAUUUCCUUCAUCCCCGAAAGGCCGAAAUUCCCUCGCUUUACCUUCACCUCAGAAAUGAAAUGGGAUAUGGAGAUCGAGGAAGUCGAGGCUGUUCUAGAGAAAAUUUGGGACUUACACGACAAACUCAGCGACGCCAUUCACUUGAUUUCGCGAGCUCACUUCCUUAACUCCAUCAAAGUCCUCAGAAAAUCCGACAAGAAGAAGCUCUACAACGACGUCGUUGUCGGCAACGAUAAUAAGACCGGCUUCGUCUUUUUCAAAGACUUCCAAAUCGAAGAUGGUGGCUCCACAAUUCAAGAGGCCAAGAGUCUUAAUGCUAUCAGAACGGCUCUCGAGAAUCUCGAGGACCAGCUCGAAUUUUUCCAUACGGUACAAAUACGGCAGCGUGCAGAGAGAGAUGCAGCCAUUGCACGAUUAGAACAAAGCCAAAUAAUUCUUGCCUUGAGAUUGGCUGAGCACCAUGGUAAGAAGUACAAAGUGAUUGAUGAAGCUCUAGCUUUUGUGAGAGAUAUACAUGGUGCUAGCUGUUUUGUUUCACCUGAAAACCUUUACAGUAUACCCAUUAGUCCAUCUGGAGAGAAACUCGUGUCACAUGAAGGGAAGCACUCUAAUAUGCUAAUCAAAGUUCUUGUUUCUAGCUUCAACUUUGCAAAGAAAUCCCUGAAAUUUGAUCAUAUGGGUGGGAUACUAAGCAAUGCAGCUUUAUUCGCAGUUAGCAUGGUAGCAACGCUGCUUUUGCAUCAGAUUGCUUUCACAGAGCAUCCACACACACAAGAAGAUAACAUCAACGGCCACGGAAAUGUGAGAAAGUAUUCUCAACUGGAACGGCCUUCAUCCUAUGAUCAUUUGAACCAGUUGGAUGUGUCUUUGGCCCGGGGUUAAGGUGAAGACUAAAAUUGGGUUAGAGGUUUAUCAAAGGAAGGAGGUCAUGAUGUUUUUCAAAUUUGAAGAAGCUUUUCUUUCUUUCAGUUCUUCCCACGGGAGUUUCAAGAGUGUUUAGUUGAGCAUGUUAGCAAGGAAUUGGUCCUUUUUUAUGUAUUGCCCUAGUUGGAGCUGUUGUCAAAAUGCUGAUUGCCCUUUCUGCCUUGCUGGUAUUGUUGUUGAGCCACAUUCCUUGUUAGAAAGUAGAAACGAUAGUGAAGCAGCCUAACCACCUGCACCACAAUCUCUUCAGCAUACUAAGAUCAAUCUGGCAGACUAAUUCAUGGCCCAAGUUUGAAUAUCUGGUAAGCAGGCAUUUCUUAUUUCGGAUAUUUCUUUCUAACAUUUUUAAUAUCCUUUUCCACUCUUUUUAAUUCCAGCAAAGGAAGUUAAAGAAAAUUGGUGUGUUCCCCACGGUUCAUUGGCCUUUAAUAGUGGAUUUGCUUGACUUGAAGUAUUCUAUGAAUAUUUUAUCCAAUUCAAUUCCAAUAUGUAUCCUCUGUCCUCUGAAGAUUCAUUCCCACUCCAUUAUGGGAAAAACGUCUCAAAAAGAUUAAGCAUGAAAAAGAAAAAGAGGACGUUUCCACACGUAAAUAGAAGAAUGAUGACAAAUUACAAAACCAUCAUGCAAGGAAUGUCGGAAAGUUUAGCUUUGUUUAGGGCUUUUGACAAAGGUUUUAGUUGGCAGAAACCAUAAUUAACCCUAUAAUUUGCAGCUGUAGUGUUUAAACACUUUCUUUGACUUCUUAUUGGAUGCCAUGACUCAAAGCUCCAAUAUUUAAGCAAAAUCACAAAUUAAACAGAUUACAAGACAAAAAGAAAACAUCCUCCUCUUUUUAUGUCAAACUGUGUUUCCUCUUUGUAAUCUUUGUAUAAUCCCAGGUGGGACAUGAUAUCUUUAUGUUUUCGGUGUGAAAAUGUCGAACCAAUAUGAGUUAACAUGGGACAAUUUGGACUUCCAAAAUGUAAACUGCAAAUAAAAAAAUAA